rnacentral:rRNA from 1 species
CAGUCGCCGCGGUAAUACGUAGUGUGCAAGCGUUAAUCGGAAUUACUGGGCGUAAAGCGUGCGCAGGCGGUUAUAUAAGACAGAUGUGAAAUCCCCGGGCUCAACCUGGGAACUGCAUUUGUGACUGUAUAGCUAGAGUACGGCAGAGGGGGAUGGAAUUCCGCGUGUAGCAGUGAAAUGCGUAGAUAUGCGGAGGAACACCGAUGGCGAAGGCAAUCCCCUGGGCCUGUACUGACGCUCAUGCACGAAAGCGUGGGGAGCAAACAGGAUUAGAUACCCCAGUAGUCCCUGUCUCUUUACA